rnacentral:sRNA from 1 species
AAUUUAGAGAUUAAAAAUGGCGGACAAGUUUGGACGCAAUGUUUGGAUGGUUACAGUUUACACAUGUUUUUGCAUCAAUAAUUGAAGUAUGCAUUCUCUAAAGUUAUUGGAGACAGGUUAAUUAUUCAUUAUGGUUAAAAAGAAAGAAAGAGCGUCCAGGCAAUCUCCUAAGAAAGAUGCAAAAAAGAAAAAAGAUGAUGUUGUCAUUCACACUGGAUUGCCACCAAAAGUUGAAGGUCAACUGCGAUGUCACUGUUGCCUUAGUGUAAGUCAGGUCAAAUGGACUUGCCCUUCACCUCCUGAUGUCACACAUGUGCGUGUUAGAUGGUGGGGAGAAGAAGGAGAGGGUGCCAUUUUCAGGCCAUAUGAUGCCAGGAAGGGAAAUUUUGCUAUGGCUAAGACUCUGGCUAGGUACCCUAUUAAAUCAGGUCCAAAGCAGUUUUCUGCAUACCUUACUGACAUGUCCAGUCUGUUGAUUGAAGUUCUCAGUGGAGGAAUGAUGGUUCCUGUUGGAUAUGCUGAAGUAACAGACCUUGGAAAGCUUUCAUCAAGUUCACCUGUUAAAGGUUGGUAUCCUGUUAUGUCUCCGAAUGAUGACAAACUGGCAGAGUUAGAAGUUUCUCUGCAUCUGGAAACUGUGACAGAUUCCUAUGACAGUCUGGGCGAUUCUAUCCCAACCACUGAUUUGAGUAUGGAUGCUAAUGGUGUCAAUGACUCUAUGUACCCACAACGAAUACAACAUAAAGCUCCUUACGCCAUUCCACCCAGAAUACCAACAGAUGACCCCUUUAUAUCACCUGUGUCUAAUCAGAAUGGCUCUGUGCCAAAUGGCUAUGCAAAUACUGCAGCAGACUUAAGAAAACAGCUCAAUUAUAGUUUCCAUGACAACCGGCAGCAUUCACAUCCUCAGCCAGUAGAGUCUGGUAGUACUGUUGAAGUGACAGCAAACGGUGACAUUGUGACCUCAGAUCUAGACCAAAACCACCUCAAUUUCAUCUCCCACCCCACCCCCAAUCACAGUGCCAUAUCAGUACAAUCCUCCAAAUCGUCACGGAAACAAAAAGCGUCCGUUCGUGAACCACCCCCACAAGCUGCACCCAGAGGUGCAGAGGGACCAGAGGUUGGAGAUUUGCUUUCGAUUCUUCUGCAAAAAGGAGACAAGUUACGCAAAGAAAUGAUUAUUUCGUCUGUGGAAGAUAAUGUGACAAAUUCAAAGGAAAUUACUAGUGCUUCUUAUAAAAACGGCCAUGAAAAUGGAGAGAACAAUAUGUCUAGAAUGUCAGAAAGCCGUCGGUCAACUGGAAGUUUUUUCAAGGAACUAUUACAAUCUGAGAAAGCACACCAGAACGGACAUGUUGAUGUUUCACAAUUUGAGGAGAAUGCGAUUGACCUGAUUAUGGGUGGAUCAGGGCUGGACGAUUAUCAGAUGUUGAACUUGGGAGCUGGCAGUCCAGGAUCUAUAUCUGACGAUCAGGAUUUGGUCAGUGACCCAGGGGAUCCUAUCCACAGCGAAACUCUACUUAAAGAAUUGUUCUACAAAAAUCCAGACAGUGAAGUGAGUGAGUUGAGUGAGUUUAGUGAUGAGGAUGUCAAGUACCAGAAGGUAGAGAGCAGACUCAGGACGGCUUCCCCGGCUCCCUCCAUGGAGGACCCAGACAAUGUGCGUCCACCUUCAAGGCGUUCCUCUGUGUCCAGUAUCACGUUGCCUUUACCAAUGACAGACACUCCAGAGAAACCGAAGAAAAAAUCAGAAAAACCCAAGACACCAAAAAGAAAAGGAAGAGUGAAACUCCGCCGGAAAGGCAGUAAGAAAAGAAGGAAAGGGUCAAGGUCACGGAGUAGGAGUGCCAGUGAAUUCAGUGACGAUUCGUUUAAUACCUCUCGGUCAGAGAUGUCCCAGGUGUCAUUUGAUAUGCCUGCCUCAGAUCUGGAUGAACCAGAACAAGAAAUGGCACCUAGACGUGGUAAGAAAAAGGUGGAUGGCCUAAGCAUUGAGAGACUGACCCUGCUAGGGAGAGUCCAUGUGGCCAGGGUUGUGAUUGACCAGCUCAAGCUUGUUGGCUUUGAACAAAAUACAACUCCAUCGAAGAAGAAACCAGGCAUUAAAUCAGUGGGCAAGCCUCCAAAACCUUCACCUAAAGUCAAGAAAGCUGCAACCUACUUUAUUGAAUAUCAGUUUCCUGUGGUUGCUACAUCCAGAGAUAAACAUGCACCUAAUGCCAUGGCAACAGAGGUCACUAGAGUUGCAUCAAAAAAUAUCAAAGAUGGAGUUGUGACGUUCAAUCAUCGUUCAGUCUUCCCAAUUAUGUUUGAUGGAACUGCAGUGGACAACUGGUGGAAGUCUGCUUUGGUCUUCAAACUGUUCGCAAGGUCCACUGGACAGAAAGUGCCAAAUCAGGUAGGAAGCUGUGGAAUUCCCCUGAAGUCCAUCCUUAAGUCUGACAGCUUUCACCUGGACAGUUCCCUGGACAUCCAGGAGAACAGUAUCAGUCGCCCGGGCAGUGCGUCCCGGCGAGCAGGGAGUGAUGUAGAGGGGUUCUACGGAAAACUAAAGGUGUCUGUAGAAUUAGCGUCAGACAGCAAAGAUUUCUCCUCAGCUCUGGCCAAGACAAAACUUGCAGAAAUGAGUGGUAAAGCUAAAAUUGUGCCAAUCCCCAAACCUCCCCCUCCCAAAGCUCCAGUAUCUCAGGAACCAAGUGCUGUUAAUACUCAGGAUCAAGUGCUACAUUUCAACCAAUUACGCAAACAAACAGAGUCCGAAAUGAAAGAAAGCAUAGUGAGAGAGGUGGAAGCUUUUCUACAGAGAAAUUCUCAGGCCAGUAGUACCACAUCUUCUCAGCAGAAAAACUAUGGCCAGGGUUUGCUACAAAUUCCUGUAUCUUAUGACCCGUCCAAUGAAAUUCCAGAGGUGCUUACUUUACACACUCUGUUACUGAUCCCGGAGGGACGUAACAUCACCUUGAAUGGCAUCCCUUGUCUAACAACACUAAAAAGACACCCAGUUUUUCCACCUAAACCUCAUUCAAUGGCUUCAGACCCCAGCAGCAGAAGCAUGAACAGCAGAAACACGUACCUGGUCUGUCGGAUGUUUUGGUGCGAUGAUGCUGUACACUCGGAUGUCUGUUGGAAUGACCCCCAGCCACCAUACAACUUCUCACAGAUUGCUCCAGUGUUGGUUUCACAAAGUCUGCUGGAACGAAUGAGGAACAACUUCAUGGUUGUGGAGAUUUGGGACAAGAAAACAAAUGCAGAGAAUGACAAGCUGAUUGGAAUAGUAAAGCUCAGUCUCCACCAAUUCUACAUGUCCUUCAGAGACAGAAAAAUAUCCUCAGCAUUGCUAAAAUCACAGUACCCAGUGAUUGCUGUGGACAAUUACCUGCCCAUUGUUGAUCCACUGACCGGCUCCCAGUACGGACAACUCAAAGUCCUUUUGGCCAUGGGGUCAGCCGAACAGGUGUCUGCCUUACAACGAAUGAAGAUGGAGAGUGCUGCUGGUCUGCAAGUGCUGAGACCUUCACAUCAACUGGAUGGAAAUUUAGAAACUAGUCAAGAAGGUGCUUCCAGAAAUCAGUUUGGAACCUCAGUGUUAGUGGAACACAUCUUUGAGGUGGUUAUAGAAGGAAUUCGAGGCCUCUCAAUGUUUGACAACAUGAUGUGGGGUGAGGCGGACUGCUUCAUUCAGUAUCACUUCCCCACCCAGAGCCAGACCGAGGUCCCAGGGGCCCCAAUAGUCCGACACAGUGUCCCUAAGAUGAAGACUUUCCGAAGUGCCACCACCCUCUGUAUCCCUGAUCCGACCUUUAAUGACAUCACCAGACAUCGACUAUGUCUGCCUCAGGGAAGCCCAGUACAGCGCGAGCUGUUGACAGCCUGUGCUGGGUCUGGUUCUAGUGGUGGCGUUCCUUUUGAAGUCUGGUGUAGGUACUACCAUCCCAAUGUUAGGGACCAGUGUAUCGCCAAGACUAGUCUACCAUUGGCAAAGCUGUGUGCAAUGGUAACAAUGCAAAAAAGGAACGAACCAGCGGUUCAGACAUUUACCCUGCCCAUAAACUCUGUGACAGGGGACGGUCAGGAGGAGGACCCAGAACAGAAGGCCAAGCAGAAAGAUUGUGGACUGUUAACCUUAACCAUUCACUACAAGACACACAUAGCCCACAACGAGAGCAGCACAGCAGCUCACAGGAAUAUUGGACAAUCCCAGGUCUGUCUGACUGUGGGUAUCCUCAAGGCUUGUGGACUCAAGGCUGCAGCAGAAAGUUUGGCCUACACUGACUCAGGUAUGCAGUACCCAGCCGAGGUGGGAGUCAACACCUACAUAAAAGUACAGCUGUCCUUUUUGGACAAGUCUGAGGAGAGGAUUACUAGGACAGUGGCCCGCUCCUUUGCCCCUGAGUUUUCUCAUACAAUGGACUUUCCGUGUAACCUGAUUUGGACAGAGGCGGACAAUGAGGCCCUCUCAUUAGCAGAGAUCUUGGAGAGGGGACAGCUUCACCUACAGGUGUGGCAUCAGGUGCCGGGGUUGGCCUCAGAUAUUGACAGACAGAUGAUGUUAGAAGAUACAACCAGAGACAAAAAACUUGGUGAUGUGUUGCUUGGCACCUGUGAAGUACCACUGUCAACUGUAUUAACUCACAGGACUGGUAUUAGUGGAUGGUUCCCUAUCACUGUCUCACCUAACGUUUCAUCAGAAGACAACAUGGACGCCUCAGGUUACCAUGGGAACUACCUCCAUCGUGUUGUUGGGGGUGUGGAGUUGGAGGUAAAGUUUGCCCACCACAAUGACCGGGAGAAGGUGAUCCACGCAGGGCGGAAUGUUGGAUGGUCACCAGUGGAUCUACAGGUGGAGGAUGAGGAGGAGUGGAUGAGUGACGAUGAGAGCUCGGACCGCUUCUAUCACAUCACCAUCUGUGUGGACCAGGCCAACUUUCCAUUGGCCAACACACUUGCUACAGGUCAUGAUACACUUGAAAAAGGAGCAAGAUGUUAUGUCCGCUACAAGCUUUACGACAAAGCUGCUGUUUUAUCCAAAGUAACCAAAAUGGCUGACAGUGAUGGCAUUCUGACCUCAGAACUUGGACACAAACACACACUUAAUAUUCCAGCUUCUUCUCCAUUUCGUUGGUAUCUUCGUGAGGAGAAGCUGGAGGUACAGGUGUGGGUCAGUUACAGUUAUAACCAGAGUCAGCGUCCACAGCACAGGGACAAGCUGAUAGGGACAGCUUACAUUAACCUGGAGACCCUGGCAGACACACGACGCACUCAGCACAGAGUCAGUGGGUUGUAUCCCUUGUUCAAAGCAGGAGGUGCUAACCUUGGAGGUGGCUUUAUUCAAGCUCAUGUCACACUGAAACCAAUGUUUGGGAUUCCAAGACAGAGAGAGAAUGAGGCCAACAUGUCGGACAUCCAUGACACAGAUUAUGACCCUAAUGACAGUUUCCACCAGCUCACUGGCAAUACUAAGCGCAGCAAACCAAUCAGUAAGCAUGCCAGAGUACAGGAAGAAGACGAGGAAGUGGUCCCGUCAUUCUCCGUCCUCAUCUCUGUAGAACGGGCCAUGCAUCUACCUAGAGUCUCUGAAAACAGCAGGUCUGGAGAACACCUGCCAAACACGUAUGUUUCCUAUCAGACAGCUGAAUCAGCUGAUCCAACAUUUACCGACGUGUUUCCUAACUCGGACAACCCUGUCUGGGAUCAUCAGAACGAGACCAGACUCAGUACAGAGCUCUUGUACCAGGAAAACAGAAAUUUGGUGUUUAAAGUCUGGCACAAGCCCAGCUCCUGUGGGAAGACUCCAGACAAGUGCUCUGACAGAGUUCUGGGGUUUGUUUCUGUGGAUUUAACUCCCUUGGCCUCUGGACUUCAACAGAUGUGUGGAUGGUAUAACAUUAUGGACUUCAAUGGGCAAUGUCAAGGGCAGAUUAAGGUAAACAUAAUUCCUCAAGAAUGUUUGAGACAGUAUAAUCAAGAGACCAACUCCCCAAACCAGCCCACUAGUCUUCCAGUUAGGAACGUAGGGCAGCCCCAAGUGUUGCAGCAGCAGUUGGUAGAGAACAUUAGAAACUUCCUUGACCAACAGCAGGCAACACUAGAUUCUAAACCAGACUUCUCUAGUGUAAACACCCAUAGAGAACCCUCCAUUCACUGGGUGCCUUCAGUGCCAGAGAACAAAUAUGAAGAGACCAAUGACAGUUCUAGAUCUUUCCUUUUUGGAAGUUUGAGGAAACAAAUGCAGGACUUGGAUCAGAUAACAUCCAGGUUGAAGCAGAAGUUGACUCCAGUAUACAGCCUCCCUCAGCAUUUGUCAUCUGAGCCUGAAGCCCCUGUGUCGUGUCGCUCCACGGGACAUGCCACUCUUACUUCCACACACUCAGGACUGAGCACCAUCUCCACACUCCACCUACAGCACAGUCAGAGGGACUCCUCGCGCACCCAGGAGAGCGAGUUACUCCUCACAGCUUCCAACGAGGCCGAGUCCUCCAGGACCGGAGUAGACUCGGGCGUCCUCUCUGUGACUCAGUCAAGUGAGAAAUAUCAGGAUCAAGAAGCUCUGGACUCGCAGAGGAGCGAUGGACUUGAUGCAUUCAGACUCAGGUCUUUGACUCAUGAGUUCAACAAGGAUUCUCCUAGGGAUCAAAACUCAGAUACAGGAAUUCACUGUCCGUACAAAUUACGUGAAGAUGAUUCUUCCUCAAACUCCAAUGUGGGAAACACUCCUAGAGAUUCUCACAGUAAAAGCAGCACACCAAGGGGGAGCACUCCAAGAGACCCAUACUCUGUGUCAAACGGUUCCAAAAUGUCUGAUCCAUCUUCUCUGGGGUUCCAGUACCAAGGAGAUAUGUCUUCUAGAAGUCACAUAUCAGCAAAGAGCAGUUAUCAGGAUGGUGGUGGAAAAUCUCCAGUGGAUGUAGCAUUCGGUUUAGCAAAUGAGAAAAACUCUAACGUGAAUUUUAAUUCAAAUGAGAAGAAAAUGGAAUCAAAGGACAUGUCCGUCAUAGAGGAGAAUGCUGAUGAAAGUGGAGGGGAAGGGGAUGAGAAGUAUUACCAUAGAUACAGGGACAUCCUAGAUGAACAGGACAGUGAAGGUUCGGAAGUGGAAAGUGAGGCCGACAUAGUGGUACCUAGAACAUUAAAUGAUGUAUCUGGUAAGUUUGGGGGGAUUCCAGGUCAUGAAGCCCACUCCAACAUUGGACCGAGGGAAUCACCGAGAGAAUUCCAUCAAAGUGAUCACACCAUGCCUUUUGAGGUUGGAAGUUCCAGAAGUGGGUCUAAAUCAAACUCUGGCAGUAAGAAAACUUCUGAGGCGGAGCUGUCAGACCUAGAAGAAUUGCAUAGAGAAAACCUGCAAGACUCCAGGUGUGAAAAACACCAGUUUUAUGUGGAGAAAGACAGCUGGUUCUCCGAUGAGGAAGGCGACCUUCAGAGGUCAGGUUAUGACCCCUCUUUUACACAAAGGUCAACAAGGAUUGUUUCUUUGGAAGUUGAUGUGGAGGAAAACUUGCAAGAAAUUGAAAUUGUUGAAAAGGACAGCUGGUUUUCAUCAGAUCAAAGCAAAUCCAAUUUAGAGUCAUCAAAUCCUCCCAAUGAAAAUGACAACAGUGAGAUGAAUUCGUAUGUGAGGCAUUCAAAACACUUGUUAUCUAAAGUUAAACUUGAUACCAUUUCUUCUGUGGGAAGUAGAGAAUAUGAUAGUUUCUACAUCGAAGAGAGGGAUUUAUUAAACAAUGUGGAAUUAGACUCUGUAACAUCAGGAACAAAUACGCAAAAGGGAGAAUCUGUUUACAAUUCUACUGCAUCAUUCCACGUCAGGAAAAGUAGUGACCUUGAAAAUUACCAUGAAGAAAGAAUGACCCAUGACUGUGUGCCAAAAUCUCCAAAGGAAAUCUAUAACCAUGUUGUUAGUGAACUGGAGGAAUUCUUUGAACAUUCAAGGUCAGAAAAUGUCCAAGGUCAUUUCGCAGACGAUAGUGAGGAUGAAGAAGAGGGAGACAAUUUUCAUCCCUUGGGAGAAGCAGAAAAUGGAAGCUCUGAUGAAGAAGAGGUUGAUAUUGAAGUACAACAAACCAAUCACGGAAAGGGAAAAGACACUAAUCAGCAAAUUCCUAAUUUCUUUUUACCUGUGGAACACCUGCAGGAGUCAAUGAAAGUCCUCCAUCUGGCCACCAAAGCUCAACCAGGGAAUGAUUCAUCAGAAGUUAAGAUUAUGGAUCCUCAGCGCAGGGAAGAGAAAAGUCAAGCUGCAGCUGAAAUGAAAAAUAAACUGAGUCAAAGUGUAGCCCAGUCCCGCUUUGCUAAUGGUCCAACUAAGAGCAGACAACUCCCUACAGCAGAGGAAGCCAAAAGAAUUGCGAAGAUUUUCUCCUCUAAGCAUUCAAAAUAACUGAAACCAAGAAAUACAAAAAAAUUUGUUACAUGACUGUGAAAUGUGGGAGCAUAGAGAAUCAAUAUAAUCAUAUGACAGUGAAAUAUGCAACUUCGCCAAUAUUCUACAGUACAUGUAAUUUACCAAAAUCAUAUGACAGUAAACUAUGUAACUUCACUGAUAUUUUAAGGUGCGUGUAAGUUUACAGUUUUACUGUACAACAUAGGAUGAUAGUUGUCCACUAUGUUUAUCCCACAUACUUUGCCACAGCAGCCAGGGAAUUACUAGUUUUAAACACUGUCUUUCUUGUCCCACCACUUUCAUGUGUAUAAUCCUGUUCAUCAAGUCUUUGUAGAUGGAUUAUAGAUCUAGUCAUUUUGUCCCCAGCUUUUAAUAUUUUCUUUAGAACAACACACAUAGGAGAAUUAGAAGUUAUUCUCAUGAAGCCAAGUUUCCAUAGAAGCAGUGUAGUUUAUUAUCAACCUAGGUUUAGAUGACUCUCCCUAAACUACAGGACAGUAAUUGUUAUUGCAUUUAUUUCAUUGUUAACUUAUUGUUAUGUACUUGUCAUUGUUUUUACCUGUUUAUAUUGCAUCAAACUUACUUUUUAUCUGUGAUAUCGAAGAAUUAUUCAGUUUGGUGUAAAAUAUGUAAAUAGCAUUUUUACAUAUAACUGUAGAUUUGCCUGCUUUGAGUCAAGAUUUUGCAAAACUCAUUGAAUAUGAAAUCCAUGCCCUGUUAUUUUUCUCAACAUAGAAUAUAGAAAUUUAGGUAUAUCAAUGAAUUUGAUUCUCUGUAAUUUUAUAACCUAUCAAGCUCUAGGGGCUGUCGGUGCUUUAGGAAUUGAAACUUUUCUUUAAAUAACAUGCUGGCUUGAAAUUUUUAAGAAUUUAUCUUUUUAUAUGAUAGAAAGCUAGCUGCGUUUUUUUUUAGAAAGAUAAUCUCGUAUUUAUUGGACGAAAUCUCUGUGUGGCAGAUCUUUUGUUUAGUGUUUGUACAUUUGUAAAUAACCCAUUAUUUAUUGCAUCAAAC